GACGAACGCUGGCGGCGCGCUUAACACAUGCAAGUCGAACAGAAAGGCCCUGCUUUUGUGGGGUGCUCGAGUGGCGAACGGGUGAGUAACACGUGAGUAACCUGCCCUUGACUUUGGGAUAACUUCAGGAAACUGGGGCUAAUACCGGAUAGGAGCUCCUGCUGCAUGGUGGGGGUUGGAAAGUUUCGGCGGUUGGGGAUGGACUCGCGGCUUAUCAGCUUGUUGGUGGGGUAGUGGCUUACCAAGGCUUUGACGGGUAGCCGGCCUGAGAGGGUGACCGGCCACAUUGGGACUGAGAUACGGCCCAGACUCCUACGGGAGGCAGCAGUGGGGAAUAUUGCACAAUGGGCGGAAGCCUGAUGCAGCAACGCCGCGUGCGGGAUGACGGCCUUCGGGUUGUAAACCGCUUUCGCCUGUGACGAAGCGUGAGUGACGGUAAUGGGUAAAGAAGCACCGGCUAACUACGUGCCAGCAGCCGCGGUGAUACGUAGGGUGCGAGCGUUGUCCGGAUUUAUUGGGCGUAAAGGGCUCGUAGGUGGUUGAUCGCGUCGGAAGUGUAAUCUUGGGGCUUAACCCUGAGCGUGCUUUCGAUACGGGUUGACUUGAGGAAGGUAGGGGAGAAUGGAAUUCCUGGUGGAGCGGUGGAAUGCGCAGAUAUCAGGAGGAACACCAGUGGCGAAGGCGGUUCUCUGGGCCUUUCCUGACGCUGAGGAGCGAAAGCGUGGGGAGCGAACAGGCUUAGAUACCCUGGUAGUCCACGCUGUAAACGGUGGGUACUAGGUGUGGGGUCCAUUCCACGGGUUCCGUGCCGUAGCUAACGCUUUAAGUACCCCGCCUGGGGAGUACGGCCGCAAGGCUAAAACUCAAAGGAAUUGACGGGGCCCCGCACAAGCGGCGGAGCAUGCGGAUUAAUUCGAUGCAACGCGUAGAACCUUACCUGGGUUUGACAUGGAUCGGGAGUGCUCAGAGAUGGGUGUGCCUCUUUUGGGGUCGGUUCACAGGUGGUGCAUGGCUGUCGUCAGCUCGUGUCGUGAGAUGUUGGGUUAAGUCCCGCAACGAGCGCAACCCUUGUUCACUGUUGCCAGCACGUUAUGGUGGGGACUCAGUGGAGACCGCCGGGGUCAACUCGGAGGAAGGUGGGGAUGACGUCAAGUCAUCAUGCCCCUUAUGUCCAGGGCUUCACGCAUGCUACAAUGGCUGGUACAGAGAGUGGCGAGCCUGUGAGGGUGAGCGAAUCUCGGAAAGCCGGUCUCAGUUCGGAUUGGGGUCUGCAACUCGACCUCAUGAAGUCGGAGUCGCUAGUAAUCGCAGAUCAGCAACGCUGCGGUGAAUACGUUCCCGGG
rnacentral:rRNA from 1 species